rnacentral:rRNA from 1 species
AUGGAUAAAGUGGGCAAAACAGACUCACAUUUUUCAAUCGAAAAGAUGGCGAAAAGAAUGUUUUUUGAUAGACCUAGGACAUGGAUUCUAUACGAACCAAUGGAUCGUGACAAGUCGUUACUACUAGCAAUGACUUCCUCUUUCAUUACUUCAUCAUUUCCAUAUCCCUCUCCCUUGUUCGAUCUUACUCAUCAAAUGGCACUCAGUUCAUAUCUGUAA